AAACUUGUCUUCACAGGUGUGGACAAGGGACCAGAGUGGGCUGAGGGAAAUCCUUCACUGUGACUUCAGAAGCACCCGACAAAGGCCCGCGAAGGAUGAUGAGAAAGCGUGGAAACGGCAAAGGACAAGAACGCUGCCCACAAAGGAAGCAGCAGCAGGAGGCGCAUCCUCGGGCUCCUUGCCGUGGUGGCCAGCCUUUUGGGAGCAAGGAUGGGACGGCGCAGCGACCCACCCGGGCCGGCAGGUGACUAUGCCCGCUCCUCUCGCAAGGCUUACCUGAGCGGCCCCGGGUCCGGGAGGGCGGUACCGCCCCUCUCCGCCAGGCGGGGAAGCUCCGUCCCACUGCCGGCCCCGCCCC
rnacentral:lncRNA from 1 species